CUGUAUACCAAUUAGAAUGUACCAUAUGCCUGGCAAUUCCCAUAUAAAUGAACCAUUUUUGAAUAUUUGAAUAUUCUUUUUUUUUUUAAUAAAGUACAUUUAAAAACAAUAAGGAAAAAAAACAUCCAUACAUUUAUGGUUGGACAGUGUUUGAAAACCGACACAUAGUCUCUAUGGUCUUCCCUGCUUUUGUUCGGGGAGUGAAGCAGGAAUACCAUAGAAGCUGUCCGUUUUCAAACACUGUCCAUCCCAAGGUGCAUGUAUACGGCUG